rnacentral:rRNA from 1 species
UACGUAGGGCGCAAGCGUUAUCCGGAAUUAUUGGGCGUAAAGAGCUCGUAGGCGGUUUGUCGCGUCUGCCGUGAAAGUCCGGGGCUCAACUCCGGAUCUGCGGUGGGUACGGGCAGACUAGAGUGAUGUAGGGGAGACUGGAAUUCCUGGUGUAGCGGUGAAAUGCGCAGAUAUCAGGAGGAACACCGGUGGCGAAGGCGGGUCUCUGGGCAACUACUGACGCUGAGGAGCGAAAGCAUGGGUAGCGAACAGG